UACGAAGGGGGCUAGCGUUGUUCGGAUUUACUGGGCGUAAAGCGCACGUAGGCGGAUCGAUCAGUCAGGGGUGAAAUCCCAGAGCUCAACUCUGGAACUGCCUUUGAUACUGUCGAUCUGGAGUAUGGAAGAGGUGAGUGGAAUUCCGAGCGUAGAGGUGAAAUUCGUAGAUAUUCGGAGGAACACCAGUGGCGAAGGCGGCUCACUGGUCCAUUACUGACGCUGAGGUGCGAAAGCGUGGGGAGCAAACAGG
rnacentral:rRNA from 1 species